GACGAACGCUGGCGGCGUGCUUAACACAUGCAAGUCGAACGGAAAGGCCCUGCUUUUGUGGGGUGCUCGAGUGGCGAACGGGUGAGUAACACGUGAGUAACCUGCCCUUGACUUUGGGAUAACUUCAGGAAACUGGGGCUAAUACCGGAUAGGAGCUCCUGCUGCAUGGUGGGGGUUGGAAAGUUUCGGCGGUUGGGGAUGGACUCGCGGCUUAUCAGCUUGUUGGUGGGGUAGUGGCUUACCAAGGCUUUGACGGGUAGCCGGCCUGGGAGGGUGACCGGCGACAUUGGGACUGAGAUACGGCCCAGACGCCUACGGGAGGCAGCAGUGGGAAAUAUUGCACAAUGGGCGGAAGCGUGAUGCAGCAACGCCGCGUGCGGGAUGACGGCCUUCGGGGUGUAAACCGCUUUCGCCUGUGACGAAGCGUGAGUGACGGUAAUGGGUAAAGAAGCACCGGCUAACUACGUG
rnacentral:rRNA from 1 species